UACGUAGGGUGCGAGCGUUGUCCGGAAUUAUUGGGCGUAAAGAGCUCGUAGGCGGUUUGUCGCGUCUGCUGUGAAAUCUGGGGGCUCAACCCCCAGCCUGCAGUGGGUACGGGCAGACUAGAGUGCGGUAGGGGAGAUUUGGAAUUCCUGGUGUAGCGGUGGAAUGCGCAGGAUAUCAGGAGGAACACCGAUGGCGAAGGCAGAUCUCUGGGACCGUAACUGACGCUGAGGAGCGAAAGCAUGGGAGCGAACAGGAUAGAUACC
rnacentral:rRNA from 1 species